AGCUUGUGCAAAUGAAGGAGCCUUCCCCAUGGCCCAGCCUAGUUCUCAGCUCUGGGUUUGGGGCAUAAGAUGCAUUUAAAAAAUCAGCGUUAACUGAGCCAUUCCUUUUCUUAGUUCUUUCUUUACUCAGCAACUUGAAGGAGAGAGGUGAAGGCAAGGCAGACUUGGGGCACAAUCAUAUCCGGUGGCACCUGUAUUCACCCUGAAUUCCAAUAGCAUCACCUGACCUACCAGGAUAUACAUGCCCAGUGUUUAUUCAGGGAAGAACAACGAGGCCCUGGAUAGGAUGUGAUGAAUGAAUCUUCUUAAUGAGAAGUGGAAAUCAUUUGUGGUUGAGAGCUGUGCCUCAGAUCAGGAGUGACAGGAUACAUGGCCAGGCUAUAUUUUCCAGCAGAUUAAGUUAAAAGCUGUGGCCCAAGACUCUGAAAUAUGAAGAAAAAAGAAGAAGAUGACAGGAUAUUUUUUCAAAGAAAUAUUUUCCAGCCAAAAGGUGCAGCAGAUCACUUCCAGGAAUUUGUUCUUGUUCUCUAUCAAAGAGCAGUCUGGGACAUUCUCUGGAAGUUUGAAGAUUGACAUGAACUAUAGUGAAGUGAAGCAGAGAAGACUGAAGGAGGAAGGAAGGAGGGAAUGCAGAGGACAGAGAGAAUGAGGAGCAAGUGAGUAAGAAGAAUGGAGAUAGAGAAGAGGAAACCAAAUGAGUUCCUGUGUGUGGGAGGUACAGUGCUUUAUGUGCUGCACCAAUGCUGGUCUGGCAGCAGCUGGCCAUGUCCCAGGAGCUGAGGAUGGGGCUGACCCGGAGAGAUGGACUGAGCCAGUAGGACGAAGGCAGUGGAGGAUGGAGGGAUAUUAUACAGCUGUGUUCCAGGGGCUCUUCUUAGGGCUGUGGAAUGGAUCCAGGCAGGAUGGACUCGAAUUAAGAUUGUAAUGACUCUUCCGUUUAGAAAACACACUCUUGCUGUUAAUGAUGCCUUGUCAGGAAUGAUUUUUUAAUUUGCAAAUGAAAGUAAAACACCCAUUUCCUAUUCAGUUGUAUGAAUGCUUGCCUCCGUGUGUUUGCAUGCGUAUGUUGGUUAAAGAACAAAGGCAUGGUGCCUGCAGAAAGUUAAGUGCAAAACAAUGUGAAGAACUGAGAGUUUCCUGAACCAGCUCUGGUGAAAGGCGAUUAAGUGCCAAAUUUUGACACGGCUAAGGUAGCUAGACACAAAUACUGUCUGCAGAGAAGCACUAUGAGACUUUGAGUUUCAAAUGUACUUUUAAAUGUUCUCUGGGAUUGAAAUUUUUUUAUUUAUAAAUGAA
rnacentral:lncRNA from 12 species